GGGGAAUUUUCCGCAAUGGGCGCAAGCCUGACGGAGCAACGCCGCGUGAGGGAUGAAGGCCUCUGGGCUGUAAACCUCUUUUCUCAAGGAAGAAGAUCUGACGGUACUUGAGGAAUAAGCCACGGCUAAUUCCGUGCCAGCAGCCGCGGUAAUACGGGAGUGGCAAGCGUUAUCCGGAAUUAUUGGGCGUAAAGCGUCCGCAGGCGGCCUUGAAAGUCUGUUGUUAAAACGUGGAGCUCAACUCCAUUUCGGCAAUGGAAACUACAAGGCUAGAGUGUGGUAGGGGCAGAGGGAAUUCCCGGUGUAGCGGUGAAAUGCGUAGAUAUCGGGAAGAACACCAGUGGCGAAGGCGCUCUGCUGGGCCAUAACUGACGCUCGUGGACGAAAGCCAGGGGAGCGAAAGGGAUUAGAUACCCCUGUAGUC
rnacentral:rRNA from 1 species